GACGAACGCUGGCGGCGUGCUUAACACAUGCAAGUCGAACGGAAAGGCCCUGCUUUUGUGGGGUGCUCGAGUGGCGAACGUGUGAGUAACACGUGAGUAACCUGCCCUUGACUUUGGGAUAACUUCAGUAAACUGGGGCUAAUACCGGAUAGGAGCUCCUGCUGCAUGGUGGGGGUUGGAAAGUUUCGGCGGUGGUGGAUGGACUCGCGGCUUAUCAGCUUGUUGGUGGGGUAGUGGCUUACCAAGGCAUUGACGGGUAGCCGGCCUGAGAGGGUGACCGGCCACAUUGGGACUGAGAUACGGCGCAGACUCCUAUGGGAGGCAGCAGUGGGGAAUAUUGCACAAUGGGCGGAAGCCUGAUGCAGCAACGCCGCGUGCGGGAUGACGGCCUUCGGGGUGUAAACCGCUUUCGCCUGUGACGAAGCGUGAGUGACGGUAAUGGGUAAAGAAGCACCGGCUAACUACGUG
rnacentral:rRNA from 1 species